rnacentral:sRNA from 1 species
AUAUCUAAGCCUCGUUUUAAUUUCUUGGCGAGCCUUCCACACCUCGCCUCGUGUUCGUGUAUCCUGAAUGAGGUAUCAGAAAUUCCCUGUUGAUGUAGCAGGAAACACAUGCAUGGGCGCAUUUUGCGACCCUGCGGCGUGAUUUACCAUGGAAUGCGUUCUGGUAUACGGGCAUAGGGAAUACUCUAAACUUCACCUUUACAACUUUGGGAAAUGUUCCUUGGCUGCGAACAGCAAAGCACAAGAAAUUGAACAGAAACAAACUGUUGAUCUGACUAACUCCUGAUCAAGUGCUGUCCCGCCCAUUACGACAGCGACAACCCAUCGGAUUCGGGGUAAUUCCCUUACCCCCAAUAUUGUCUAGCCUGUGAAGCGCUAGAUCUCCAAAACAACUUAAGGAAAGCACCGUACGCAUAACCUCCUCCAAGCACGACAAGUAACUUAAGGGAA